rnacentral:rRNA from 1 species
UGGACCUCAGAUCAGGCAAGAUUACCCGCUGAGUUUAAGCAUAUCAC